rnacentral:misc_RNA from 1 species
GAUUCACAUCAUCUAAAGGACGUGUGAGUGCAUUCAACCUAAGAAUCUCAUUGUCCUGCACUUCAACAUUCUGCUGACUGACAAGUUUCUCAAGUAUAUGGUCUGCAGCACUAUUUGAAGGUGCACAGACAAGAACUCGAGCAUCUUUCCUCAUAAUACGUACCUGGAUGAUAGCUUCUAUAAGAGUCCUUGUUUUGCCUGUACCAGGAGGCCCAUGGAUAACAUAUGGAGCCCCUCCUUUGCACCCAAGAAUCUUUUCAACUGCAGUUGUUUGUUCCUUGUUAAGCAUACAUGAAUUAGGUGCCAGUCUAGCAGCUUGUAUAUUUCUCGUUCUGGAUAUGCCUGAUGGAAAGAGAAUUUCUCCAUUUAAGCUUUCUGUAGCUUCAAUGGCUUGAUGUAACCUCCGCACACCCGUACGAUUGAAUGAAAAUUGCACAUUGUACAGAUUUCCAGGAACAUGGUUGAUGUGGAAUUCUUCAUCAAACUUCAAAUAUACUUCUUCCGCCUCAACUCGGUGGAUAUAACCCUGGUAAGGGGUGAUCUCACUAGCAUCUCCAGAAGCUAGCCUUGCAAAGAUAAAAUCUCCAUAAACAAGUGAUGGCCUCCUCUCGGCUAGCCCUGGGACAUCAAGGGACAAGAACUGUAGUCCUUUGCGCUUCAUGGUGACUGACAACAUAUCAUAGUCCCUCAUGUCUUCCUCCAUCUUGAUUUCUUCAAUUGCUAGUAAAGUUCUAAAAUAAGCAAUAUAAUUGUCUCUUCUUAAACCUUCCCCAAUAACAUCAGGAAAUUGUUUGUUCUCUAUCAUUUCCCGUAUAUCACCUGGAAUUGGAUAUGAAGGAAGUCUGUAUCUGAAACCUCGAUUUGGAGCCCUUGUAGGACGGGAACCCACAACAAAUGCAUUUGCAGCAAAAACAUCUACUGCUGGUACUUUCUUCUUUCUGUCUCUGUGGAACGGCCUCCUUGAAGCCAGAGACUGGGAAACCUUAUCCUCAGCCAAGACAAAAACUAAUCUUUCUAUGGUGUCAUCACCCACAUUGAAAUGCACAGCUGAUGUGUGCAAUCCAAUUUCUUUGGGUUUACAAGUCAGCCAUACUGUAAGUGUUUGACCUGGCCGUAACAUUCUAUCCUCUAAGCUAAAGGAUUCCAUGAAUUCUUCAACAUAUUGCAAAUCAGAACUAUCAGUUGGAGGUUUCAUCAGAGAAAGAGUGAAUGAAUCCUCAGGUUUUGAGUUAUAGAUCUUAAUUGACCACAGCUCCUGGGUUUCAUUGGUGGUAUUCUCUAUUGUGACUGAAUCAACAACAGUUUCCCCAACAA